rnacentral:ncRNA from 1 species
AAUAGAGGAGCGGCUGAGCAUAAGUACCGCCGCCGCGCGGGGAGCGGUCUUCCCCGACGGCGGGAAAGGGCGUCGCCGCCGAGGCACGGCAGAAGACCGAGCUGCCGCAAGCCGGGCGUACGGGAGAAGACCCGUGCGACUGUCACCGUAUCGUGGAGCACUAUGG